rnacentral:rRNA from 1 species
UACAGAGACUGCAAGCGUUAUUCGGAUUCACUGGGCGUAAAGGGUGCGCAGGCGGCCAAGUGUGUUAGGCGUGAAAGCCCGAGGCUUAACCUCGGAAUUGCACCUAAAACUACAUGGCUAGAGUACUGGAGAGGGUAACGGAAUUCACGGUGUAGCAGUGAAAUGCGUAGAUAUCGUGAGGAACACCAGAGGCGAAGGCGGUUACCUGGACAGCUACUGACGCUCAGGCACGAAAGCGUGGGGAGCAAAAGGG